UACGAAGGGGGCUAGCGUUGUUCGGAAUUACUGGGCGUAAAGGGCGCGUAGGCGGUGUGUCAAGUCAGGCGUGAAAGCCCCGGGCUCAACCUGGGAACCGCGCUUGAGACUGGCACGCUAGAGUUCGGGAGAGGAUGGUGGAAUUCCCAGUGUAGAGGUGAAAUUCGUAGAUAUUGGGAAGAACACCGAUGGCGAAGGCAGCCAUCUGGACCGAUACUGACGCUGAGGCGCGAAAGCGUGGGGAGCAAACAGG
rnacentral:rRNA from 1 species